rnacentral:rRNA from 1 species
AUUGAACGCUGGCGGCAGGCCUAACACAUGCAAGUCGAGCGGAUGAGGGGAGCUUGCUCCUGGAUUCAGCGGCGGACGGGUGAGUAAUGCCUAGGAAUCUGCCUGGUAGUGGGGGAUAACGUCCGGAAACGGGCGCUAAUACCGCAUACGUCCUGAGGGAGAAAGUGGGGGAUCUUAGGACCUCACGCUAUCAGAUGAGCCUAGGUCGGAUUAGCUAGUUGGUGGGGUAAAGGCCUACCAAGGCGACGAUCCGUAACUGGUCUGAGAGGAUGAUCAGUCACACUGGAACUGAGACACGGUCCAGACUCCUACGGGAGGCAGCAGUGGGGAAUAUUGGACAAUGGGCGAAAGCCUGAUCCAGCCAUGCCGCGUGUGUGAAGAAGGUCUUCGGAUUGUAAAGCACUUUAAGUUGGGAGGAAGGGCAGUAAGUUAAUACCUUGCUGUUUUGACGUUACCAACAGAAUAAGCACCGGCUAACUUCGUG